rnacentral:rRNA from 1 species
UAGGCUGCAACUCGCCUACACGAAGCUGGAAUCGCUAGUAAUCGCGGAUCAGCAUGUCGCGGUGAAUACGUUCCCGGGCCUUGUACACACCGCCCGUCACACCAUGAGAGUUGGCAAUACCCAACGUACGUGAUCUAACCCGCAAGGGAGGAAGCGUCCUAAGGUAGGGUCAGCGAUUGGGGUGAAGUCGUAACAAGGUAAC